GCGGGCAUAGCUCAGUUGGGAGAGCGUCAGACUGAAGUAUCACUUCAAUCCUCAGCUUGGAAAUCAUCCAUCUGUUAUCUGAAGGUCAUGUGUUCGAUCCACAUUGACCGCA
rfam:Ophiocordyceps sinensis CO18 unplaced genomic scaffold OCS_Scf_182, whole genome shotgun sequence.